rnacentral:rRNA from 1 species
GACGAACGCUGGCGGCGUGCUUAACACAUGCAAGUCGAACGGAAAGGCCUGCUUUCCCUUGUGGAUUGCGGGUACUCGAGUGGCGAACGGGUGAGUAACACGUGAGUGAUCUGCCCCCAACUUGGGUAUAAGCCUGGGAAACUGGGUCUAAUUCCCGAUAGGACUGCAGGGUGGUGCCUGUGGUGGAAAACGAUUUUCUAGUGGUUGGGGAUGAGCUCGCGGCCUAUCAGCUUGUUGGUGGGGUAAUGGCCUACCAAGGCGGCGACGGGUAGCCGGCCUGAGAGGGUGGACGGCCACAUUGGGACUGAGAUACGGCCCAGACUCCUAUGGGAGGCAGCAGUGGGGAAUAUUGCACAAUGGGCGGAAGCCUGAUGCAGCGACGCCGCGUGGGGGAUGACGGCCUUCGGGUUGUAAACUCCUUUCGACCGCGAGGAAGCCACCUGGUUGGAAGGGUGGUGACGGUAGUGGUAGAAGAAGCACCGGCUAACUACGUG